CCUACGGGAGGCAGCAGUGAGGAAUAUUGGUCAAUGGCCGGAAGGCUGAACCAGCCAUGCCGCGUGAAGGUCAGUGCCCUAUGGGCGUUAAACUUCUUUUGUGCGGGAGCAAUAAUGGUCACGUGUGGCCAGACGAGAGUACCGUACGAAUAAGCAUCGGCUAACUCCGUGCCAGCAGCCGCGGUAAUACGGGGGAUGCAAGCGUUAUCCGGAUUUAUUGGGUUUAAAGGGUGCGUAGGCUGUGUGGUAAGUCAGCGGUGAAAUGCCCCCGCUCAACGGGGUGAAGUGCCAUUGAUACUGCCUGGCUGGAAUGCGGAUGCCGUGGGAGGAAUGUGGGGUGUAGCGGUGAAAUGCAGAGAGAUCACACAGAACACCGAUUGCGAAGGCAUCUCACGAAUCCGCGAUUGACGCUGAUGCACGAAAGCGUGGGUAUCAAACAGGAUUAGAUACCCUUGUAGUC
rnacentral:rRNA from 1 species